ACAAAAGCUCGCUUGUUCUCAGAGGAGAUGGAGGAAACCCAGUUUCACUUUGGCUGUUUCCGCAGCCAUCCUUGCUUUCAUCGGCCGUGGACCUGGACUGAGGACUGAGGCCUCUGUGCGAGACUGAUACCUUGACCAGAGCAACUGCUCAGCGAGAGCCAACGCUCCCAUUCGACCUGCAGACUGAGAAUUGGACAACUGAACUUUUUCUACCUACUUGACACUCUCUUGCAGGUAUAAGAUUUCUAAUUCUUGACUUCCACAGAUGACAGCCCCCCAAACCAGUAAUGGUAGACAGGGGACCCACGAGAGGCGUGCGGGGCCGUGUGACCACAAUGCCGAGUGAGCCUGAACCGGAACGCUCGAAGAACGCUUCUCGUGAGGAGGCUCAGAGGACGAGCCCCUGCCUGAGCAGGCUCAGAGGCCAGACGGACAAAGCCAGCAAGCCAUUUACCUCCUUUCCAGGCAGAUUGAUGGAAGAAAGAUAAAAGGUCAAGGAAGCAAUGCCUGUUUAAUUAAACUGGUGACCACGCCCACCUUGUUAUGAGGAGGUGCCCAGGUCAGUUCAAUACCUAAAUACUAACAGUACUGCUAACAAAAACAAGUUAAAAGAAAAUCCUUUUACUAGAAUACUUGUAAAUACUCAUCAAUAAUAAUG